GGCUUUGAAUUGUAUUGUGGAAAUGUAUUACCAACAGAGGUGCAGGUGCCAGCCUAUUGAAAUAAAGCGUCAAUGAGGGUGAGAAUCCUGUUUGUCAUGUGCAGCCCUUUGUGCACGGUGUAUAUUUGCUGAGUCACACUCCUUGGCAUUGGAAUGCAAAGUGGGUGGUAAGUUUCAUGUAAAGGUAAACAUGCAAUUGAGACUGAUAGCACACAAGUACCAUGAGGGAAAUAUGAAAAGGACUUUGAAAAGAGAAUUAAAUGAGUUUGUAUUUGCUGAACACAAAGUAAACAGACUUGAUUUGCUUGGUGGGAGUGUUGCACUUGCUUGACAAGAGCUUUGGGCUGUGGGUGUAAUGAUUCUUUCUUUGCAUGCCAGUUUCUAUUUGUACAUCUGAUUACCUUUGCACAUGAAUGAUAAGUCUCCUGUGGGGGGUGGAUUGCAUGUGCAUGUAAUGAUUUGUGUUUUGAUAAAUGUGUCUGGUGUAUGUGUGUGUUCCUGUGCUUGGGGAUGCUUCCUUCCUUGGACUUACAAGCCCUGACACACACAUGCUGGCAAAAUGCUUCUGCUUGACCCGUCUUGAAACACGGACCAAGGAGUCUAACAGAUGUGCAAAGUUUGAAGGUGGUAUACCUUUGUGUGCAAUGAAAGUGUCAGCUGGGAUAUGUGCACCAGCACCCAAUUAAUUAGCGGACAGAGGUUUGAGUUGGAGCAUAUCUAUUAGGACCCGAAAGAUGGUGAACUAUGCCUGAACAGAAUGAAUUCAGAGGAAACUCUGAUGGAGGUUCGUAUCGAUACUGACGUGCAAAUCGUUCGUCAUAUUUGGGUAUAGGGGCGAAAGACUAAUCGAACCAUCUAGUAGCUGGUUCCCUCCGAAGUUUCCCUCAGGAUAGCUGGAGUUGCUCAGUUUUAUCAGGUAAAGCGAAUGAUUAGAGGAAUUGGGGACAGGUUUGUCUUUGAC
rnacentral:rRNA from 1 species